AGAAUCAGUUGCCCAAGAUGCAGCUGUCACCUGAUUAUAAAUCUCCUAACACCUGGGGAGCAAGGCACAGGCCAUGGAUGAAGAUUUUCCCGGGUGGGGACACAAACAGGCUGAGCCUCUCCUGUUCUCCCUGGUCUAUCAACCUCACAGGCAGAGAUCAAAGAAGCUUUGAGGAGAGAAAGAGGCUGAGAGCAGAACUGCACCAGGCCAUUCAGAAAGGGUAUCUUGAAGAGAACUCCUGGAGUUUGGUUGUAAAGCAAGGCCUGGAACCAGAAAUAACCUGAGAACUUGCUGGUGUUGCAGUCUUCCAAGAGCUGCAAGAAAUAUCCGGGUACCCAGAGGUGGUAGUGAAACUACAGCACCUCGAACACAUGCACCCUGAUUGUAAUUGAUAGCUAUAAGCAUGGAAGAUUUGUCAUUCUUUAUAAAUAUGUUGUUUCAUUCAUUCUUCC
rnacentral:lncRNA from 1 species